AACGAUAAAGGCAAACUUGCCGAAAGGCAGGGACGCAAAGCUAAAGGGCCUGUGAAAUGGCAGCCAGCCACCGAAA
rfam:Desulfosporosinus sp. I2 contig00056, whole genome shotgun sequence.